GUUGGCCAGUAGCUAGAAACAACUCUGUUAGCUAGGGGCAAGAACCAGAACUAUGUUGGCCAGGAGCAAGAAACAGAACUAUGUUGGCUAGGAGCUAGAAACAGAACUAGGUUGGCCAGGAGCGAUAAACAGAACUAGGUUGGCCAGGAGCUAGAAACAGAACUAGGUUGGCCAGGAGCUAGAAACAGAACUAGGUUGGCUAGUUGUCCAGGAGCUAUAAACAGAACUAGGUUGGCUAGUUGGCCAGGAGCUAGAAACAGAACUAGGUUGGCCAGGAGCUAGAAACAGAACUAGGUUGGCCAGGAGCUCGAAACAGAACUAGGUUUGCCAGUAGCUAGAAACAGCACUAGGUUGGCCAGGAGCUAGAAACAGAACUAGGUUGGCUAGGGGCUAGAAACAGAACUAGGUUGGCUAGGGGCUAGAAACAGAACUAGGUUGGCUAGUUGGUCAGGAGCUAGAAACAGAACUAGGUUGGCAAGUUGGCCAGGAGCUAGAAACAUAACUAGGUUGGCCAGGAGCUAGAAACAGAACUAGGUUGGCCAGGAGCAAGAAACAGAACUAGGAUGGCCAGGAGCUAGAAACAGAACUAGGUUGGCCAGGAGCUAGAAACAGACCUAGGUUGGCUAGGGGCUAGAAACAGAACUAGGUUGGCUAGGGGCUAGAAACAGAACUAGGUUGGCUAGGGGCUAGAAACAGAACUAGGUUGGCUAGUUUGUCAGGAGCUAGAAACAGAACUAGGUUGGCUAGUUGGCCAGGAGCUACAAACAGAACUAGGUUGGCUAGGAGCUAGAAAAAGAGCUAUGUUGGCCAGGAGCUAGAAACAACUCUGUUAGCCAGGGGCAAGAACCAGAACUAUGUUGGCCAGGAACAAGAAACAGAAGUAGGUUGGCUAGGAGCUAGAAACAGACCUAGGUUGGCUAGGAGCUAGAAACACAACUAGGUUGGCUAGGAGCUAGAAACAGAACUAUGUUGGCUAGGAGCUAGAACAAGAGGUAGGUUGGCUAGGAGCUAGAA
rnacentral:lncRNA from 1 species